rfam:TPA: Bos taurus chromosome 20, whole genome shotgun sequence.
UCCCUGGUGGUCCAGUGGUUAAGACUCUGCACUUCCAAUGCAGGAAGUGCAGGUUUGAUCUCUGGUUGGAGAA